CCUACUGGUGGCAGCAGUCGAGAAUCAUUCACAAUGCGGGAAACCCUGAUGGUGCGACGCCGCGUGGGGGAAUGAAGGUCUUCGGAUUGUAAACCCCUGUCAUGUGGGAGAAAAUUAAAAAGAUAGUACCACAAGAGGAAGAGACGGCUAACUCUGUGCCAGCAGCAGCGGUAAUACAGACGUCUCAAGCUUUGUUCGGAAUCACUGGGCGUAACGCGUGCGUAGGCUGUUUCGUAAUCCGUCUGUGAAAGGCGCGGACUCAACCCGCGCGCGGCACAUGAUACUGCGAGACUAGAGUAAUGGGGGGGGAACCGGAAUACGCGGUGUAGCAGUGACAUGCGCAGAUAUCGAGAGGAAAACUCGGGGCGAAGGCGGGUUCCUGGACAUUAACUGACGCUGAGGCACGAAGGCCAGGGGAGCGAAAGAGAUUAGAUACCCCAGUAGUC
rnacentral:rRNA from 1 species